rnacentral:misc_RNA from 1 species
GUAAAUUUUAGUUGAAGAAGCAAAGGAUAAAUUUGAUGAUGUAGGAUACUACUGCGCUCAAUACAUUCAAUUAUAAUAAAUAAAAAUUGUAAUAUACUUAAAUAUAUAAAAAACAAGAAAACUAAUAACUGACGAGUUCAUGCAUAUUGCCAACAAUACAUCAUGCUGUACUCGAACUAAUUUGUGUUGUGUUAAUAUAAUUCAUAAGAUAAGAGUAAUUUAUAUGAAAUAAAAUUGAGAAGCAUUUCAUGAAAACCAAACCAAAUUUUUGAAGAUCUUGAAACUUCUGUUAUGUAACUUAUGACUUAUCUGUUCCGAAUUACAAAGUCAUUACAUAAAUACCAUUAUAUUUGUAAAACAAUAAGC